rnacentral:rRNA from 1 species
UACGAAGGUGGCAAGCGUUGUUCGGAUUUACUGGGCGUAAAGGGAGCGUAGGCGGUUUGGUAAGCCCUCUGGGAAAUCUCCCGGCUUAACCGGGAAAGGUCAGAGGGGACUGCCGGACUAGAGGACGGGAGAGGAGCGCGGAAUUCCCGGUGUAGCGGUGAAAUGCGUAGAGAUCGGGAGGAAGGCCGGUGGCGAAGGCGGCGCUCUGGAACGUUCCUGACGCUGAGGCUCGAAAGCGUGGGGAGCAAACAGG